rnacentral:rRNA from 1 species
AUUGAACGCUGGCGGCAGGCCUAACACAUGCAAGUCGAACGAGUGGCGGACGGGUGAGUAAUGUCUGGGAAACUGCCUGAUGGAGGGGGAUAACUACUGGAAACGGUAGAUAAUACCGCAUACCAUCAGAUGUGCCCAGAUGGGAUUAGCUAGUUGGUGGGGUAACGGCUCACCAAGGCGACGAUCCCUAGCUGGUCUGAGAGGAUGACCAGCCAAAGUGGAACUGAGACACGGUCCAGACUCCUCCGGGAGGCAGCAGUGGGGAAUAGUGCACAAUGGGCGACAGCCUGAUGCAGCCAUGCCGCGUGUAUGAAGAAGGCCUUCGGGUUGUAAAGUACUUUCAGCGGGGAGUCGUUACCAGAAGAAGAAGCACCGGCUAACGCCGUGCCAGCCGCCGCGGUAAUUC